GGAAAAAGGUGUACCUCAGUGGUAGAGCACCCGCUUUGCAUGUGGAAGGCCCCGGGUUCAAACUCUGAUAUCUCCA